GACGAACGCUGGCGGCGUGCCUAAUACAUGCAAGUAGAACGCACAGUUUAUACCGUAGCUUGCUACACCAUAAACUGUGAGUUGCGAACGGGUGAGUAACGCGUAGGUAACCUGCCUGGUAGCGGGGGAUAACUAUUGGAAACGAUAGCUAAUACCGCAUAAUAUUGAUUAUUGCAUGAUAAUUGAUUGAAAGAUGCUAUUGCAUCACUACCAGAUGGACCUGCGUUGUAUUAGCUAGUAGGUGAGGUAAUGGCUCACCUAGGCGACGAUACAUAGACGACCUGAGAGGGUGAUAGGCCACACUGGGACUGAGACACGGCCCAGACGCCUACGGGAGGCAGCAGUAGGGAAUCUUCGGCAAUGGACGAAAGUCUGACCGAGCAACGCCGCGUGAGUGAAGAAGGGUUUCGGAUCGUAAAGCUCUGUUGUAAGAGAAGAACGGGUGUGAGAGUGGAAAGUUCACACUGUGACGGUAUCUUACCAGAAAGGGACGGCUAACUACGUG
rnacentral:rRNA from 1 species